GCUUACGCCAUACCACCCUGAACGCGCCCGAUCUCGUCUGAUCUCGGAAGCCAAGCAGGGUCGGGCCUGGUCAGUACUUGGACGGGAGACCGCCUGGGAAUACCAGGUGCUGUAAGCU
rnacentral:rRNA from 1 species